UACGGGGGGAGCAAGCGUUGUUCGGAUUUACUGGGCGUAAAGGGCGCGUAGGCGGCCACCGCAAGUCAGUUGUGAAAUCUCUGGGCUUAACCCAGAACGGUCAGCUGAUACUGCGGGGCUAGAGUGCAGAAAGGGGCAACUGGAAUUCUCGGUGUAGCGGUGAAAUGCGUAGAUAUCGAGAGGAACACCUGCGGCGAAAGCGGCGCACUGGACCACAUCUGACGCUGAGGCGCGAAAGCUAGGGGAGCAAACAGG
rnacentral:rRNA from 1 species